GCCUGCGGAGACAGAGGAACCCUCAGGAACCUGCGAACUUCACAACCCAAAUUCUUCAUCUGCCUGAGGUUCUGAUCCAGACCCUUUGUAGCAGGAGUGGGUUCAUGUUACACGCGUUUCUCACCUGACGACAGAUGAAGUUGCCCAGACUGAGGUGCAGCAGGUGGUGGGUGCUGGAGUCCAGAUCCUCCUUCAGCCUGUGGAGACGAACAUGUGGGUCAUGGUGGAUAAUGUGUUUCUUCUAGCUCCUCAUCAACAAUCACACGACCUUCAUGGUUCCAGUUACCUGUCGACGGUCCGGGAGCAGAUGAGGCUGUAGAGGAACAGGAUGACUCCGUGACCUCCCUCCUCUUUAAACUGGGAAACAAAUGCAAGAUGUGACGUCUCCUCCUCUUCUAUGUGUGAACUGAGCUGCAACUGAGAGACAGAGGAGGCGAAGGUCACCGGAUGCAGCCAGUCCAGAGACAGGCGUCUGGUGUCUCUACCUUCUCCGUGAAGUUGUCCAGCUUGUAGUCCAGGGGAGGAGUGAUGCAGUAGUUCUCCGCCACCAAAGCCACCGUAGCACUGAGCUCCUGUCCGGCCGACCAGAGGCAGUCGGACAGCGCCGCCGCCAGCGCCCGCUCCUGCUGCUCCUGUCCGACCGCGCUGAGGCUGGGAGGAGACACAGCACCAGGACGGACAGAUGUUUAGAAGCGCUGCGCUGCAAGAAGUGCAGCCGCGUCCAGGUACCUGUGCAGGGUUCGUCUCUCCAAGCUGUUCUGAUGCAUGAACAGCAGGUGUUUGAUGACUCGGGCCUGGACCACCAUCUGGAUGGGCCCGGCUCCACCCUGAAACACACCCCACCAGGGGGUCAGAGCUGGUACUGGUUCCAGAUGAGGUCACUGGGUGCCACCUCAGUGAGCUGGGGGGUGACCGGCGUCCCUCCGAGGCCUGGGGAAACCACCAGCCUCCGGGGGAUGGA